rnacentral:misc_RNA from 1 species
AAUGUAUCGUGAGCGUUCCAGUUAAACGUGGCCCGCGCGCUUGUUACGUGAGCGGGCGCAGAGGCGCGUGAAUCGGCCUGCGGCCAGCUGUGGCCGUUCACGGCUGCGGUUGUCUCGGUGAGCCGUUCAUCGGGGCCGAGUGCCCCCGAGAAAUGGUCGCUAGGUUAAACGCAGUUUCGACAUUGGUCCUGUUAACGCUUCUCCUCAAGAUCGCUUUGAUACUCUUCAGGCUCUUUGCGAGAAGAGGUAGGGUGUACACAGCCGUUGAAUCGGAGGAAAUCUUGAGCGGUCUCAUCCGAGUGUUGAUCCUGCUGAUGUCAUACAGUCUUGUAAAUCACCUGAAAUUGCUGUCUGAAGGACACAGCACCGGACGAAGACUCGCACUUGCAAGCUAAGAAGAUGUACAUUGAAGACUCUACAAUAGGAGUGUUUGCAAUUGCAGCUAUCAUGCUCAGGAUACAGUCCAAUCUCUGCUUAAUUUAUGGCAACCUCGAUAAAGAAGAACGUAACCGGUAUGUCACUCUCAACUUUAUUGCUGGCGCACUGUGCGAAUUUUUUGGAUUAAUGUACCUGCUGGAUUUUGUAACCUCCAGGCAAACUGAAUCCUUGAGCUUUCAAAGUGCUUCACAGUUUUACAACCAGGAUCUCGGGCUAUCUGACCGUGCUUGCAAUAUGUGCACAGUGCACCG